rnacentral:rRNA from 1 species
CCUACGGGAGGCAGCAGUGAGGAAUAUUGGUCAAUGGACGAGAGUCUGAACCAGCCAAGUAGCGUGAAGGAUGACUGCCCUACGGGUUGUAAACUUCUUUUAUAAAGGAAUAAAGUGAGGCACGUGUGCCGUUUUGUAUGUACUUUAUGAAUAAGGAUCGGCUAACUCCGUGCCAGCAGCCGCGGUAAUACGGAGGAUCCGAGCGUUAUCCGGAUUUAUUGGGUUUAAAGGGAGCGUAGAUGGGUUGUUAAGUCAGUUGUGAAAGUUUGCGGCUCAACCGUAAAAUUGCAAUUGAUACUGGCAGACUUGAGUACAGAUGCGGUAGGCGGAAUGCGUGGUGUAGCGGUGAAAUGCUUAGAUAUCACGAAGAACCCCGAUUGCGAAGGCAGCUUACUAAACUGUGACUGACAUUGAUGCUCGAAAGUGUGGGUAUCAAACAGGAUUAGAUACCCUUGUAGUC